UACGGGGGGGGCAAGCGUUGUUCGGAAUUACUGGCGUAAAGGGCUCGUAGGCGGCCAACUAAGUCAGACGUGAAAUCCCUCGGCUUAACCGGGAACUGCGUCUGAUACUGGUUGGCUUGAAUCCGGGAGAGGAUGUGGAAUUCCAGGUGUAGCGGUGAAAUGCGUAGAUAUCUGGAGGAACACCGGUGGCGAAGGCGGCAUCCUGGACCGGUAUUGACGCUGAGGAGCGAAAGCCAGGGAGCAAACGG
rnacentral:rRNA from 1 species